rnacentral:rRNA from 1 species
AUUGAACGCUGGCGGCAGGCCUAACACAUGCAAGUCGAGCGGAUGAAGGGAGCUUGCUCCUGGAUUCAGCGGCGGACGGGUGUGUAAUGCCUAGGAAUCUGCCUGGUAGUGGGGGAUAACGUCCGGACACGGGCGCUAAUACCGCAUACGUCCUGAGGGAGAAAGUGGGGGAUCUUCGGACCUCACGCUAUCAGAUGAGCCUAGGUCGGAUUAGCUAGUUGGUGGGGUAAAGGCCUACCAAGGCGACGAUCCGUAACUGGUCUGAGAGGAUGAUCAGUCACACUGGAACUGAGACACGGUCCAGACUCCUACGGGAGGCAGCAGUGGGGAAUAUUGGACAAUGGGCGAAAGCCUGAACCAGCCAUGCCGCGUGUGUGAAGAAGGUCUUCGGACUGUAAGGCACUUUAAGUUGGGAGGAAGGGCAGUAAGUUAAUACCUUGCUGUUUUGACGUUACCAACAGAAUAAGCACCGGCUAACUUCGUG